rnacentral:rRNA from 1 species
UACGGGGGGUGCGAGCGUUGUCCGGAUUCACUGGGCGUAAAGGGCGCGUAGGCGGCUUGAUCAGUCGGGCGUGUAAGAGCGGGGCUCACCCCCGUUUUGCGAACGAGACGGUCGGAGCUGGAGCGCGGUAGAGGGGGACGGAAUGCCGGGUGUAGUGGUGAAAUGCGUAGAGAUCCGGCGGAACACCGGUGGUGAAGGCGGUUCCCUGGGCCGUAGCUGACGCUGAGGCGCGAGAGCGUGGGGAGCGAACCGG